UUUUAAUUCAUAGAAUUUAUAAAAAAUACUAUAAUAUAUAUAAAUUAAUAAUUUUAAAUAUUAAAAUUAGAUACUAAAUUUAUAAUUAUUACAUUAUUAAUAAUCGAAUAUUAUGUCAGCGAGCAAAGUAUAUAUUCGACCGAGUUUUCUUUAAAUGAUGUCGUCUUACCCUAUUCUAACCAAGCCUACCCUAUUACAAGGAACUCAUGACCUCCGUGUUUGUGCCACCCCAAAAUAAAUGGAGAAAGACGAGAGGCAAGUUUAAAGAGGAAGACUACAAAAUGUUGAUGCGCGUGAACGAAGAAUAGGUUGAGUGAUGAUGCUGCUACCCUUUUAAACACAUGAGAGGCUCAAUUUGUUUUCUUUUACAGAACUAAAGUGAGAAGCUACAUGCAUAUGCCUAAGUUAGGGGAAGGAAGCGGAAUUGGCUCGAGUUGCUAAGCAUUGGCGAGGAUGUUUGUAGAGUCGUUCAUGGUCAAGCAUGAUGUCAAAGAGAUACUCAUGCCUAAGAGGAUUUUAUAUCGCAAAACGAGCAAGGGAAGCUAUCCCGCGGCGUCUGAAGCUAUUCCGCGACUUAGCUUUCAAGGCCAACAAUAAAGCAAAGAAAUAGUCCACUCCGCCCCCUUCCCGCGGCCUACAAUGCCACGACGCGGCCUGCCCGUGCUGGAUCUUCAAGCUGCGUUUUAGACGCUUGUUUAGUCUAUUUUUAGGGUGCCAACCUAGCCUAAAUGGCAGAUAUUCUAUCAUAUAAAUAGCUUGUUGAGAGGACUUAAGAUUCUCUCCUUUUUUCUUUUUUUUUUCUCCUUAGUUUUUGGCAGCGUUUUUCUCUAUUGUACGUUACUUUCCUUUGUGCUUUAAAGAUUUAUUAAGGACCUUAUCAUUCAAUUAUCAAUCCAAGUAUUUCUCUUUUCUUU